AUUGAACGCUGGCGGCAGGCUUAACACAUGCAAGUCGAGCGGGGGAAGGUAGCUUGCUACCGGACCUAGCGGCGGACGGGUGAGUAAUGCUUAGGAAUCUGCCUAUUAGUGGGGGACAACAUCUCGAAAGGGAUGCUAAUACCGCAUACGUCCUACGGGAGAAAGCAGGGGAUCUUCGGACCUUGCGCUAAUAGAUGAGCCUAAGUCGGAUUAGCUAGUUGGUGGGGUAAAGGCCUACCAAGGCGACGAUCUGUAGCGGGUCUGAGAGGAUGAUCCGCCACACUGGGACUGAGCCACGGCCCAGACUCCUACGGGAGGCAGCAGUGGGGAAUAUUGGACAGUGGGGGGAAGCCUGAUCCAGCCAUGCCGCGUGUGUGAAGAAGGCCUUAUGGUUGUAAAGCGCUUUAAGUGAGGAGGAGGCUACUUUAGUUAAUACCUGUAGAUAGUGGACGUUACUCGAAGAAAAGGAACCGGCUAACUCUGGCCCGGCGCCGCCGUAA
rnacentral:rRNA from 1 species